rnacentral:lncRNA from 1 species
UUCUAGGUCAUUUCUGUCUGCAGUCCGUUGCCCAGUACUAUCAAGCUCCAGGGACUGUAAUUUUUUACUGUCAGUUUUUGGACAGUUAUCCUUCAUCAAAAUUGAUAGAGCCUCCUUUUCCAAGGUGGUACUCCUUUCAAAAUUGAUAGAAAUAACCUAGCAGGCAGGAAACCAGCAGCCUUUGUUCUCCCAUUUCCAUUCCCUGUUCAUCCUUGAAAUCAGAUUUUCCUCCUCUUCCAAUGCCAACCAGCAACAGGACCUUAUCCUCAAUCCCAGCUCAGCCCAGAUGAUCCCACGGCUGCAGGGAAUCUCCUGAAUACCCUCCAUUAAGGGUUUUAUUAAGGGUUUAUUUUAUGUGUAUAUGUGCAAUACCAUAAGCUGAAGUCUUAGAAAGGAGUAACAAAGAUGUUUGGAGAGGUGAUUCAAUAUCUUUUCCCACCACAUGAAAAUUAGAAUUGUUCCAGCUCAUCUGGUGGUGGUAGAGGCUAACAUGAAGAAACUGUCUUGGUUUGUGUUUCAUGAUUGGUUGGAGCGCAACACAAUGCAAAAUUUUGUAAAAAAACCCCACUUCUACUAUUUCUUUAGAAAUUUUUGCUGCGAACACAUUCCUGUCAGAGAUCAAUACUACAGUGCCACAAUUACUAGUAAAUGCUAUUGUCCUUGCUUAGAUCCCAAAGUUGGAACCUUAGCCAUAAGGUUUGUUAGUGGCCAUUGUGCCACUAAAGAAGUAUGAAGUUUCUGAAGUCAGGUGAAGUUUAGUAUUUGGAAAAAAACAUCUCCUGCCAGUAAAAUAUUAUGCAGCAGCAAAAGAUACAUGUGAUAAAGGAGUUCUAUAAAAAUGUUGGUUUAGUGCUUUAUUGUGAUUUUAAACAAUUCCUAUGUUGACUUAGUACAAAAAGGAAAAAGGUAGAAAAGAGAGAAUAUUAAUAUAUUAUUACAUGGCACCAUGGCAUAUCGUGUUAUCAUGUCUUCUUCUGGAGGCUGUGAAAAGGACAAGCAGAGAUGAUGCCUUGAUAUGAGGAAUGCCUGAAUAAACCAGAACUAUAUCAUUCAGACAGCAAUACCAAAGAGACAACUGUGGUAGGGGGUGUAUGUAAUUAUGAAUGAGCCAGUCAAAGGGAAUAAAAAAUGGGUGUUAAUGACCUUUUCCAGUAUGCAGCAACUAAAACUAGCAGGACACAUCUGCAAAGCAGAGUUAAGUCACUUCCCUUAGUCCUGCAGAAUAAAAUCUUACACAGGUUGAAAAGGUUCACCUGAUCCAAUACAACCAUUCAUGUGUUCCUAAGCUCAAAUACUUUUGGUUCUUGUUAUUUAAAAGUCCUUGUUUUCCUCUCACCCAUGCAUGCUCAAUCUACAUUAUUUCAUCCUGCUUAUUUGUGUCUAGUUUAGAUUAUGUGAUGACUUGCCUCUGAAACUGUGAUGUAAUAAUGUAAUGUAAAAUGAACCUUACUUCUAAAAACUGUAUAGCUGAAGGAUUUUAGUGGUAGAAAUCCCAAGAUAAUGAUGAGAUUUUAUUACUUUGCAGUAAAGUUGUUCUUGAGGUUUCACUGCUCCAUUAGAGUGCAUUGGCAUGUCAAAUAUACUUGCGUUCAGGUUAGGUUCUGCUAUAUAAUAAGUAUAUUGCUUCCAAAAUGGUGCUUUAUGUCAAGAGGAACACCAGAGAAGUUAAGAAACUUUAUUCAAGGCAUUAUGCUAUGUUAGUAAGUAUUGCAAAGUUUUGCUUGGGGGUUAACCAGCAACAUGGUGCAAAAUCUUUUAUAUAAAGAAAAAAUAAUAUUCACUGUUCUUGUCUUAGAAUCCAUCACAUUUGCUUCUGUCCUUCACAGAGGUCAUAUAUAAUAUUUCAGAGUUCUAGUAAUCCCCCCAAAUCCAGAAAUUUUUUUUGUGUUUUAAAAAGCAAAACCAAGUGGCAUUCCUUUGUAGACUAUGAAAAUCACUUUUAAAGUGUUUAAAGGGAAUAUAUCUCCUUAGGGUCUCUCUGUGCUAUUUUAAAUAAAUGCUUUGUGGAUAUAAUUCUAAGUGUAUGACUAUUAUACCUCUUUUAACAAACAUCAUUGUUCUGCACACAUUCUAAUCUGGUAAACUUGAAUUUUCCAUGUUCAACUCCCUAGAAUAUAUUGGAAGUGUACUAGUCCUAAGCUCUGAAAACUGCUACCAAAUAGGGACUUUUUUUUUCCCAAAAUUAUCUUGGGUUUGGGUGUUCUGAUUACAAGAUCAUAUUUUAUCUUAAUCUAACUGAACAAGGAAGAAGACAGAAACAAGGAGAAUUUGGGGUCAGUUCCAAAGUGCUUGCAGCAAUGAAAUUUGUGAAACAAGUCAAAGGGGUGUUAUCUUCUUAAACAAUAUUUCGUGCAUUUGGGAUUUCAGGGUGUGAUUCUGCCCUAGACAGACUCGUCAAAAGCAGGAGUCAUUGCAGUAAAGUUAUACAUGUUCAUUGUUUAACUGGUAUUAAACUAAUUUGAGAUGACAGACCAUUUCCACACUCUUUCAGAACAGGCCAUGUUAUCAUCAGUGUAUUUAGGUAAUUGAUAAAUUUUAUAUAAUUAGCUUAAAUGAUAAGCAAGGUUGUUUAUGAUGCUUUUGCUAAUGUAUGGUAAACAGAGAUGUGUGUUCUUCUAAUACCUGAUGACAAAUAACAAAGUGAUGAAGAUACUUACCACAUCUCAGCUUUGAAAGUGUUCCUCAGGUUUUCAUGUGUAGAGGGGUUCAAUAAGGUCCCAGGAGGGUUCCUUGAAUUCUGUUUUCUUUCUAGUAAACACACUUUCUUGUAAAAGCUUAAUAACUAAUUUAUUGCAGUUUGUGUCUUCAUGCUUAUUCUGCUUGGAUGUAUUACCUAGCAGGUCUUGGAUUGAAAUUGCCUCAAAAAUAGCCUCAGCAUGAUAAAUAUUUUUAUGUAGACAGAACACGGGAAAAUGCUUCUAGCCUCUGACAGAGCCCCUAUGGGGAGCUGGCAACUGUAUAGCAAAUUGGAGUGUGCAAAUCUUCAACCUCACAGCAGAUACAGUAAAUAUGUGCGGUGUAACACAGCAAAUAUGUGAAGGCUUUUAGUUAUGGAGGUUUGUAAAUGUUGACAAAUAUGAUUAACUGCAGAGCACAAAAUCCAUUCGCAGCAUCAAAGGCAAAACUAAAAUUCCUUUUUCCCCACCCCCCUCCAGGAUUAUGCUGAAAAGAAAAACACGAUAGCAAAAGCUCUGGAAGAUCUUAAAGCGAACUUCUACUGUGAACUCUGUGACAAGCAGUACUAUAAACACCAGGAGUUUGACAAUCACAUUAACUCUUAUGAUCAUGCUCACAAACAGGUAAGAGGAAUCUGCUCACUACUUCAACUUAGUUUCGGGUAGAACUAUGAAGUAAGAUGGCUUGGAAAUUACAGUUGAGUUGUGCCCAUAUUUCCGGCUCUGGGAAGCAAAAUAUACUGUUUUCUUAGAAACAAUCUCAAUGUGAAGGUCUUGCAGUCAAAAAUUCUAAAAUGGAAAGAAAGAAAUGUAAAGAGUUAAAUUGCAAAAAGGAACAGGGAAUGAUGAAAAAUAUUAUUAUAAAUGUGCAAUUUCAUUGUCAUCAGUUUAAUUUUGCAUGUACAUAAUGUGUUACACUUAAGAGAUGACUUACUGGGAAGCGCUCGUUGCAACAGAUGUGGACAAGGAAUUUGACAUACUCUGGUACAUUUUCUCUCAGUGCAGAUACACUUCUGAAAUGGUCUAUGAUUUUACUUAAAUGCAUUGCAUAUAAAAAAAACCUGUGGUAUGAAAAAUUUCUGGAUCAGCUCACAGUAAAUGUGUUAGCUUUAAAACGUUGGUAUUUACAGUUUUACCCCCACUUUUAUCACCACACAACCUCCAAGUUGUGUUUUCUGCUUCAGUACACGAAAGCAGUGCUCCCAUGUAUAAUAUAGAAAAUUCAGAAGAAAAGAAAAUGCAUCUUGACUCCACUGAAGAUACACGUAAUGAUAAUGUAAAGAUACAUGAUAAGUGUACAGGAAAUUUCUACUUACUUCACUUAGCUGGUAAUUAUUCUGUAUCUUGAAAUUGUGGGUCUGGAUUGAUUGCUUUUCAUUCUAAUUGAAUCUCCCCUUGUCCUGUAAUUCUGCUCGGAGUGAACAUAGGUGAGUUGUUCCAUGUGGUUUAUAUCUCUAUUAUCUACGACAAUAAUCUGCUUUUCUUCCCCUCAGCGCUCCUCCCUGAAACACUUCCCUCUCUCUUACUGGUAGUUUUAUUUAGCCCAGAAUUGACACUUGUCAGCAUGAGCAUUACAUUUAGUUUUGAGAACUAUGGAGAUGGGGACCUCAGCAGCAAUAGCAGUCUCUGAGAAGCUGGAGGGAAAGAUAUGUUAGAUAAGAAAUUAGCAAGUAGCUUCACUGCAGCCUGGUGACAUUUAUUAUGAAUUGCAAGUAUUUUUAGUUAAAAUACAGCUGGAACUGGUGCUUCAAGUGUUAUGUUCACACAGCAGCACUUCAUUGCUGGAAGGCAGAAAAAAAAGUGAUGGGCAGAGUCUUCCCCACUUGAGUUCUCUUAGGAUUUUUAUUUAUUAUUUUUUAACUGCUCUGAAGCACUUUUAAAUAAUGAGAACCUGAACGCUGCAGUGUUCAUUCCUCUGUUCAAUACUGAUGAAAAAUUGAUUUUGAAACUAAGGUAAGGCAUGACUUGUUUCCAGUGGUUCACAUAGUUAUGCUUGUUUUCUGAUGCCUUUAGAUAGGAAAUGAUGGGCACGGCACCAAGUCCUACCUCUCCAUCUUCUGUGUAGGGGGCUGUGUGUCUGUGUUUGCAUGAGGCUUUGUGGAUGUAUUUGGUGAAAGAGCCAUCCUCUUCCUUGCUGUACCUCCACAGCUCAAAUCUCCCUGGUAGGAAAUCAGGUUUCUAGUUUUCCAGUUUCUAGUUUUCCAGUAGAAAAAAUUGAAUGGAUGCUUGUUUGGGCAAAGUAAUAAUUUUCUGUAAUGUUACUGGCAAAUGAGACUAUUGAUUCCUGGGAUUAAAACAUUAAGUUUAACUCUUCUGGAGUGGGUUUUUUUGGGUUGGGUUUUUGGGUGGGGUUUUUUUUUGUGCUUGUUUCUACUGAUGUUAUAAAGAAAAAAUAUUAUUCUUCCCAUAUUUUGGUGAAAAGGGGGGUAGGCAUCAUGUACUGCAGUGUGGGUUCGCUCAGAAUUGCUUAACUUUCAAGGAACUUCAUAUCGUGGUUUGUUUGGCUUUUUUUAGUAACCUGAUUUUACUGAGUGGGCUAGAGCUAUUUGCAGGUGCUACUGUUGAAUGCUCUUUCUACCUCAGCGACAGAAGUUUUCCAGCAGUUCAUAGAAUCAUAGACUGCUUUGGGCUAGAAGGGACCUUAAAGCUCACCUACUUCUAACCCCCUGCCACGGGCAGGGACACCUUCCACUAGAGCAGGUUGCUCCAAGCCCCUGUGUCCAACCUGGCCUUGAACACUGCCAGGGAUGGGGCAGCCACAGCUUCUCUGGGCACCCUGUGCCAGCACCUCACCCCCCUCAUAGUGAAGAACUUCUUUCUAAUGUCUAAUUUAAAUCUACCCUCUUCUAGCUUGAAGCCAUUCCCCCUUUUCCUGUCACUGCACGUCCUGGUAGCAUUGGAGCAGAGCAUUGCAAUAGGCUUCUUUUCUUAACUCCUUUGAAAUAAAAAAAAGAAAAUGAAAACAUUUUAAAAUAAAAUAAAAUAAUUAAAAACAAAGUAAAAAACAGACCCAAAAAACCAAACAAAAAAAAAAAACCACCAAGCAAAAAGAAAAAAACAAA